rnacentral:rRNA from 1 species
CCUGGCGGCCUUAGCGCGGUGGUCCCACCUGACCCCAUGCCGAACUCAGAAGUGAAACGCCGUAGCGCCGAUGGUAGUGUGGGGGUCUCCCCAUGCGAGAGUAGGGAACUGCCAGGC